UUUUUUCUUUUUUUUUGUUUUUUGAGACAGAGUCUUGCUCUGUCCCCAGGCUAGAGUACAGUGGCGCCAUCUCGGCUCACUGCAAGCUCUGCCUCCUGGGUUCUCGCCAUUCUCCUGCUUCAGCCUCCCAAGUAGCUGGGACUACAGGCGUCUGCCACUACACCCAGCUAAUUUUUUGUAUUUUUAGUAGAGAUGGGGUUUCAUUGUUUUAGCCAGGAUGGUCUCGAUCUCCUGACCUUGUGGUCUGCCUGCCUCGGCCUCUCAAAGUGCUGGGAUUAUAGGCAUAAGCCACCUCGCCCUGCCGCAUUCUGUCAUUUUUGUACAACUGUCAAACAAAUCACCUCUUAAAAGUAUCUUUAAAUCUGUUUUAAAAUUAUUUCUUCCAGAAUUACAUUUUUUGGGAUUUCAAUCUUUCAGGAUUUCAACAUUUAUAAUUAUGGUAAUUGAGACUGUGUCUUUCAGGAUUUUGAUCAGCUGCUGAAUUGACGAUAUGUGAGGUGAGCUGAUUUGCAGUGAGGGUUACUUGAGAAGAAAGGAAAGCAAUUAUUCCAUUUAUUUCUCUAACGAUUUAAAGGUCUCCAAAGAACGUGUCUUAUUGGUGAUUAUUUUUCAUUUCUACUUCUCUCUUUUAGUUCUCUGAAAGACAGUUCUCUUUCUGAUUCUCUUAUGAGUUUGAAUAUGGUAGUCAGAUAAAGAGCCCACAAAGAUAAAAGUGGCUACAGUCUACAAAUCAUAAUGUGGCCCUGCUUAUUGGAUAGGUACAUUGUCAUAGGUGAAGUAUUUCCAUUACUAUCAUUAACCACAUUAAAUUUAGGGCUGCUGAUUAGGAGAAACUGAUAGGUUACAGUCAGCUUAUAGAUUCUGGUUUUCAUGAUGGUUUUCUCAUCAGUUUUUUAACGGAAAUGAACAUAUUGCUUCUAUCAGGUGAAUAGUAACAUUUAAUACCUCUGAAUCAAGGGUCCACAAACUAUGAGCUACCAGCCUGAUCUGGCCCAACAUCUGUUUUUGUAAAUGAGUUUCGUGGCAAUAAAAUAGCACUCUUUUAUAUAGCAUCUGUGGUUGUGUUGGGGCUACAGCAACAGAAUGGAGUAAUUGCAACAGACAUCUUAUGGCCUUCAAAGUCUAAAAUGUAUACUCUCUGACUCUUUAGAGGAAAGUUUUCUGACUACUGGUCUAAAGCAGGGAUGAUAAGCUAACAGCAAUCAAUCAAAUGUCAUUAUUACAGUGACUAAUUAAUGAAGUCUGUGAUGGGUGAAAUAAUAGGCUAUGGGGACAUUUAGGCUAGAUAUUUGCCAUCCUUUGCCUAAAAAAAAAUUGCAUUUCCUUAAUAAUUACCAACUGAGUCAAAGAAAAUAAGUCAGUUAAUUUCCUCUUCCUUAAAUCUUUGAAAGAGCUAAGCCUAGUGACACAUUUUAAAAUAAUAUGAGUGGGACAAAAAAUUCAAUUUGUUGCCUUUCUCAUGAUUUCUUAACUACUAUGGACCAUAGAU
rnacentral:lncRNA from 1 species